GACUCAAACCAAGAAUAUAAUGCAUUUAUUUCUGAAAAGUAAGUUUUCCAAAGAAUGUGGCAGAAUAAAUAACAUUAAAUAUGAAGCUUUUUUGUUGAGGCUUCUGCACAGUUCCAUUUCACAGAUGUGAGCAGGGGGAGGA